CCCUUAGAUGUUCUGGGCCGCACGCGCGUUACACUGACGAAUGCAACGAGCUUAUAACCUUGGCCGAAAGGUCUGGGUAAUCUCCAAAUUUCGUCGUGAUGGGGAUAGAUUAUUGCAAUUAUUAAUCUUCAACGAGGAAUGCCUAGUAAGCGCAAGUCAUCAGCUUGCGUUGAUUACGUCCCUGCCCUUUGUACACACCGCCCGUCGCACCUACCGAUUGAAUGGUCCGGUGAAAUCUUCGGAUCUGAGAGAUGUCUGAUUAAUUUCGGACGCCUUUUGGAAAAGUUGCUUAAACCUUACCAUUUAGAGGAAGGUGAAGUCGUANCA
rnacentral:rRNA from 1 species